GGGCUCACGGGCGUUAUAUAGCAGUCCGGGGCUCGCGAGAGUUCGGGCGCCCCGGGACCCUGUAUAACUCAUUCUUCUCGCGCCGCAGCCAAUGGGGAGUUAUGUCCAUUCACGUUUCGGGGAGGGAACAGCUCCACUUCCGACCGGACCAUGCGGAGGUGAACUGGUAGCCAGAUCGGUCAGUUAAGAAAAGGAAGGAGGACAGGUUGUUUUCAGUGGAUGGAAACGGCCCAGGCUCGUUGUCUCCGUCGCUGACGGAAGAAAACCGGUUACAGCUGUGUCGCUCUCGGCGGUUUCUGGGAAGGGAAUCCCGGAAGAAAUGGGGCUGAUGCUGGGCUGCGUUCUGCCACAGCGUCUUCUCUGUCCUUUGUGACAACGGGGAACCCCCAGACGUGUUCUGACGAGGAGCUGUCGGGCUGUGUUGGAACCAGGCUUUUCUCACUCCCUGACAGCGGUCCAGGAGAAGCAGAGGAGCACCAUCGCUUGGGAAUUUGCUGAGGAAGGCAGGGAGUGGGUCAGAGGUGACCUGUGAUCUUACAGAGGGUCUUAUUUCCCAGUAUUUGCAGGCGAAGCUGAAGUCCAAGCGCUUUAAAAGGCGAGACAGUUUCCGUGCAAGGUGCAGCCCAAGCCCACCUGCUGGACUGUGUCGGGCGAGCCCGCACGUUCUGUGCUGUUCCUGACAAGCUGGGACCUGACAGGAGUCUCUGAAAAUGGGGGUCCUGCUGUCCCCUGUGGGUGGCAAGAUCAGAAGUGCCACACUGGGGGGGGUUGGGGGGACCUGCUCCUGUUCGACUAGUCACCAGGCAAACGAGCUGCUUCUGGGGAGGGUGUGGUCUCCCUGAGUAAGAGGUGCAGUUCUUCCCAACAGUCCUUCCUUCCUCCGAGACCACCAAGGGCAGGGGGCCAAGAGGAACUGUGAUUCCUGAGCACUGCCUGAUCCACUCCGUAGCCAGACCUUGCUCCCGACAAAUCCUGUUGCUUUCCACCCAGAUGGGAAACCAGAUGAUUUUGCUUGUUAAGAGCGAAGUAUGGAUGAAGACCUAGAGACAUCAUGGCCCCCAGGGCUUUGAUUGGAGACAUCAGGCCAAGAUCGUGGUCAGAGAUGCAGCACACUUGCAAUACAGUGAUCCCAGUAGAACAUUAUCGCAGCUUUGACUCAGGGUGACUUGAUGACAAGUACACACAGAAGUGUGUUUAAAAACCAUUUAUUACCUUGCAAAACCAUUCUUUAAUUCACGCAUGGUACAGAGUAAAUCCACAUUGAAAACAUUCAUUGGUGUUAUUUAUAUUUUUUCUAUUUAAUAUUCACAUCUUCAAGCACUUUAUCUUGAUAUUUUGCGUGUUAAUUUGUGCACUCAAAUGCUAUUCUUCAUGGGUCUUUUUCAUUUAAAAAUUGGCUAUCACAAUUCCAGAAACAAUGAUGUAAACAUUUAAUCACAAUUCUAAUUAUAAUUUAAUCCUGCUGAAUGAUGAUAAUCUAAGGAGGGAUUAAUAUAAGGAUACUGUUUCAUUUUGGGAUUUUAUGUAAUACUGUGAUUUGUACCAAUAAAACUUGUUUUAAAACGUA